AUAAUUGACAAUUAUUUACUAUAAUUGUUAUAGAUUAAAACAGAAAUAAAUCCGAAGAAAAUGAUCAUAAUGAGGAAGAAUUAGACAUAGAAGAAAAAGAAUAUUUGGGGGAAGAAGAUGACGGAUCAGAACUCUGUGGAGGUAAAUCUCCAACAGCGUCAUCGUUUGGUAAAUAUUAUGAAUUUGUUUACUUUAAAUUGGUUUUAUUUUUUUUGUUAUGUAAAGGUUUUAUAUAGAUUUUAAAAAAAGUGACGAAUUUUCAUAUGUAGACGAAAGUAUAACUACUAUGGACUAUAAUUAAUUGUUUUAUAGUUUGUACAAUUCAGUGCUACAUUUACUCAGUAACUCUUGUUUGAUAGAAAUGUUUUUCAAGAUGGCAUUUUUUUUUUCAAUAUAUGUUUGAUGUGGUGUAAAACCAAAGCUUUUUUAUACCAAAUGAUUAAGAUUGUUGAUUUCUUUUUAGAUUUAAAAUAUGAUAUUUUUAAUAAUUGUUUUGUGUACAUUUUAUUAAGUCUAUAAAACAUUUUUGACUAGAAUAAAUAUUAUAAACUUGAUUACCUAUUGAUUUAUGUUCAAAAAAAAAAAAAAGAAAGAUAUUUUAAGUGGUCAUAUUCGUCAAAUAAUGGCGAAUGCAUUUUUUUUAUCUACAUUUUUCUCAUUACACCAUUGGAUCGAAAUUAGUAUCAUAAACAUUUUGAGUACAUUGAAAAUAUUCGUCACUACCAAUGAAGUGAUUAAAUGUUCAAUAAUUUAUUUAUUUAUUGAAAUUAAAUUCUAAAAUAAUAAUAAUCAUUUAAGUAAAUAUUAAAUAAUUAGUAAUAGAAUUAAAUCACUUAUGAUUAUGAA